CUGGACAAAGACUGACGCUCAGGUGCGAAAGCGUGGGGAGCAAACAGGAUUAGACACCCUGGUACUCCACGCUGUAAACGAUGUCGAUUUGAAGGUUGUUCCCUAGAGGAGUGGCUUUCGGAGCUAACGCGUUAAAUCGACCGCCUGGGGAGUACGGCCGCAAGGUUAAAACUCAAAUGAAUUGACGGGGGCCCGCACAAGCGGUGGAGCAUGUGGUUUAAUUCGAUGCAACGCGAAGAACCUUACCUACUCUUGACAUCCAGAGAAUUUAGCAGAGAUGCUUUAGUGCCUUCGGGAACUCUGAGACAGGUGCUGCAUGGCUGUCGUCAGCUCGUGUUGUGAAAUGUUGGGUUAAGUCCCGCAACGAGCGCAACCCUUAUCCUUUGUUGCCAGCGAUUCGGUCGAGAACUCAAAGGAGACUGCCGGUGAUAAACCGGAGGAAGGUGGGGAUGACGUCAAGUCAUCAUGGCCCUUACGAGUAGGGCUACACACGUGCUACAAUGGCGUAUACAAAGAGAAGCGACCUCGCGAGGGCAAGCGGAACUCAUAAAGUACGUCGUAGUCCGGAUUGGAGUCUGCAACUCGACUCCAUGAAGUCGGAAUCGCUAGUAAUCGUAGAUCAGAAUGCUACGGUGAAUACGUUCCCGGGCCUUGUACACACCGCCCGUCACACCAUGGGAGUGGGUUGCAAAAGAAGUAGGUAGCUUAACCUUCGGGAGGGCGCUUACCACUUUGUGAUUCAUGACUGGGGUGAAGUCGUAACAAGGUAACCAAGGGCGAAUUCGCGGC
rnacentral:rRNA from 1 species